ACAACAUGAUUAAUGCUUAGUAUUAAUUGUCUAGCUCAAGUGUGUUUUACAUGUGCAGGAUUAACUACGAUAGCAAGGCAUGAAGCAAAAUGAAGUCCUGGAGUCAAUGACGCGAUUUCGUUGGGAGUUCGAGAGUUCGUCGGAAGUUCUGUCGGAACCAGCCGAGAAGUCUCGGAGCUUGCCAGAGAAGCUCGUCGGAACUCGCCAAGAAGAUCAUCUUGAAGUCCAAGAGCUUACCGAGAGUCCGCUAGAACAUUGCCGAGAGAUCGUCAGAAGAUCGCUAGAAGCUCGCCAGAAGAAACUAGACUUACAGACUUGUUUAGUUUAGAAUAUGUCUUAGGAAUCGUAGUUAGCACAUAAUUGAGUUUGGAUUUGGGCCAACCCAA
rnacentral:lncRNA from 1 species